AUGGGCCUUAUCUCCUAUUGCAAAUCACAAAAGGUUAUUUUGGUUCACAAUAAAAGAAAAAAAGAAAGUCCCCGUAGUAAAAUCGAAUGCAAACAAAAGUUACAUUUCCAGCCCCAACAUACAAUAACAUAUGCAAAUCUCAAGUAUAACAAAUCAGAAAAAAGAUUCAAAAACAAGUUACUGCAGCAACAAAGUCAACCAAAAAGCAUUGCCAAAAACUCAGCCUUGCUGCUAACAAUUUGUUUGGCUGUAACGUCAAAUACAACAAGCCAAAACAGUCCCAAAACUCUAAGUUUUGUUUAUAAUUUUCCUAAAAGCACAAACCCUUCAGAACUAUAUGAGAAAAGAAGAAGAACAACUCUGAGUCACAGACAGAAAAAAGAAAAAAGAGACUAG